UACGUAGGGUGCAGGCGUUAAUCGGAAUUACUGGGCGUAAAGCGUGCGCAGGCGGUUUGCUAAGCCAGGUGUGAAAUCCCCGGGCUCAACCUGGGAACUGCAUUUGAAACUGGCGGGCUUGAGUAUGGCAGAGGGGGGUGGAAUUCCGCGUGUAGCAGUGAAAUGCGUAGAGAUGCGGAGGAACACCGAUGGCGAAGGCAGCCCCCUGGGCCAAUACUGACGCUCAUGCACGAAAGCGUGGGGAGCAAACAGG
rnacentral:rRNA from 1 species